ACAUUUUUGGUUUCUCAUUCACAUGAAGUGAAGGUGUUGACAUAGAUGUCUUAAAGGCACUUUUGCUUUUUCGAUUCUGAUAGUGAGAACUAAUCAUUAAAAUAUUUGCAUAAAACAUUUAACAGUUUGUCUAGGGAACCAAAAUGUGAAAUAAUAAUAAUAAUUCAACAACUUUACUUUAUUCUAACUUAUUUCAACUAAACUACUUAUACUUAAUUAAGUAUAUUCAUGAAUAUGCAUUUGAAACUGUUUGCACACUAUGCACACAUUAAAAAAUAAAGGCGCUUAAAAGGUUCACAGCAUUCUGUGUGCUGUUUUUACUUUCAUAUUGACUUUAUCUUUCCAAUUGCAUGCAUGCCAAAAAAUGUACAAAUAUCUUUGCAAAUAUUUACACUCUUUUUCUUUGUUUUCAAUCCUUCACUUUCCAUGACUAAAGUCCUGUAACAGUUUAGAUCCUGUCAGAUCAGUGAUGGAGAUGAAGAACAGGUUUAGAAAGCCAGGUGAAAUAAAAAACAUCUGAGCGUCGAGUCAGACAUCGAGUAAGAACACAAAUGCUGGAGUUAAAGGAGAGGCAACCAUGACUCCUUUAUCGAGAGGUCAUUGAGUAAUGGCCAGGCCCUGUAAAAGCCAACAUACAUCUGAAGAACCAAAGCUGUGAAUUCCAGGAGUGAAGGGGCCUCGAGGAGAGCCAGUACUUGAAGGAGGAAAAAAACUCAGAUCCCUAUUGCAAGAGAAACAGGAAUUUUAAUCCUUCUUGUGCCUCUCUCAGCUAUGAUUAAUUUUUCCAAUAUUGAGAAAUAUUCAGUCUGAAGUCCCAGGUCUGCACAGGAGGAGGAAAAUUGAUCUUGAGCUGUAGCUGUAGAAAAAAACCUGCAGGUUUGAAUGAUGAGUUGAACAGCAGUGGAUGUAAGACCUCUCAACAUUGUUUGCUAAUUCAUCUCUAAGGAAAUGAAUCCAGGAAUAUGUUGCUCUUACAUUUAAGUUACUGUAUUUGUUUGGACUGGAAAUGUUCAGCAGCUUCAUUACAACGAUAAACGGAGUGUCAAAUCAAUUGAAACUAAAUAACCCCAUUCCUGUAAGCGUUGUUGGCUUUCUGUAAAAAAUACUGGCAAGUUAUGAUUGUUUAGUUUGGGAAAUUGAAGAACAAAGCCCGUUAGUGAGAUCACGCCAAUGACUUCUGAAUAAGUCUGCGUUUCCCGCUCACACAGGGUUAUUGGAUGGACACCUGUGCAUGGAACUUCUUCUGAGGUCCAACGCUUUGUCAAAGACUGAAGGCCAUGGUGGACCGGGUCUUUGCGUUGAAUGCACUGGAAAGGUGAUGGCAACCAUGUUUUUUCCAUGGCCUCAAAACUUCUUGGCUUUGCCAUCUCAUUGCUUCAAUGUAAAAACAUUA